AAUGAAGUGCCUGAUUAAAGGGUUAUUUUGAUAGAAUAGAUUAUGUAGAAUACUACCUUCGUUA
rnacentral:tRNA from 1 species